rnacentral:misc_RNA from 1 species
UAGAGAGAAAAAAGUCCUGUGAAUGCAUAUAUUAAAAAAAUGUACAUCACCGAAUAGUUCAAGAACGUUUUGGUUACACAUUUUCACAGCCGAGAAAUUAUUACUUCUGUAACUUUUUCUUCCUAGCACAGCAAGUCAGCUAGUCUCACAAAAGGUUUGAACAAAAAGCCAUAGCAUAACAUUCAAAACAAUGCAAAAAGCCCUCAAAUAUGAUUUACACAUAUAAUCACAAAUGUGAUAUGCACAACUCAGAUGAGAAAUGAAUUGGGGAGAAGGGAAAAACAAUGGUACGAGCCCGCAAAUAGCUUUAAUCCCACUACUCCAACGGAUCAUAAAAAUUGAGUGGGAAAAAGUACUUGUCUGUGAUGAUGAAUCUAAGCAAAAUGUUCUGGAUCCCUUAGGUACAACAGCCUCCUUGAGGGGGCUGGAGGUGCCAAUCCAGGAAUGUCCCUGAUAUCUUUGUUGUUGGGGUUGACAAUCUGAAUAUUUAUAAAUUGCAAUUAGAUAGUGGAAUUUGUGCAGAUAUUACAUUCACGUAAUGCAAUCAGAAAAUUUAAAAUAGUGCAACUUCUCCAGUUCAGUCUCAGCAAAGACAUAUGCAUGAAGCACUUCAGCAUGACUUGUAAGCAAAUAUUAAUGUGGUGUAAACGCAUAGCAUAUAUUGAAUGGUCAGACAUCUAAAUCUAAAAGAACAGAAGUCACUUUCAACCCUUGUCAAAGGUCUUUUCAGCAAAACACCAUUGAACUCAAAAACUUUUGAAACCUUUAACUUGUUUGAAAGCUUUAAGGUACUCAUAAAAAGUGAUCCACCACCCUUGAGCUCCAUCAACGUUUUUCAAAAAACACCAUGAAGCUCAAACUCCAUAAUCUUAAUUUGUUUGUGAAGCUUUCACAAUUUUUUGAAAACUCCAUGCAUAUAAAAUUUCUACAAAUGAUACUGCCUUCCAUAUACAACUAUUAUUUCUUUAUACUUCCCUCUCUUUCAUUUUUGAUGCAUAGGAGUUGUUCACUCCCCACCACCCAGGAUGCACAAGUUUGCACAAAUAUUUCUAUAAUUUCCAUAAAAUUUUCCAUAAAAAGGUUCCUGAAGUGUACCUUAGCAAGAACCACUACAAUUAGGUCAAAAAAUGACAAUUCCAGGAUUAUAUAAAGCCCAGGGCAAUUAAUAGAUGAACUGAAGAGGAUACCUUCACAACAAUGAUAGAUAUCACACCACAGACAAUGAGAAAAAGAAAUAGCAUUAUGCAUUUAUCUGUUGCCACCUGUCUCCCAAUCUCCUUCACCAGCUGCGAGGCCUUCUUAAUUGAGAACUGAAUUGUAUCCAGUUCAUUAACAAUUCGACCCAUUUGUUCAGUCUGCCCAAUUUGGAUUAGCACAGAGAACACAUCGCUCAUGAGGAAGAAGAGGAAAAAGGUAAAUAACUCAGAUGAGUGAUAGAUAACACUUACUUGGCCUUUUAAGGUAACAGCAGUUUGAGUUCCCACUUCAAUUGUUUGUUCAACAACCUACAGGCCAAAACUUAGGUCAACAAUACAGAUAAAGGAAACAUUUGAUAAAACAAUAUCCAUGAAGCUAUUUACCGUUUUAGAGCGUUCAAUGACUUGAUCAGUUUCAUCCAUUGUCUUCAUACCAGCAUCAAUAAGUUCUUGAUUUGACAUUGCUAUAAAGCAGGAAUAUGAAUUACAAAAUGAAGCUAAUCCAAACUUUUUUUUUCUUCAAGAAAUUGAAAUGAACAUAAAAAAAGAUAUAUUCUUCUUGAUGUUUGAUUCUCAUUUAUCCAUGUGAAGUUUUGGCAAAUCAUCCCCAAUUUAAUUUAUAUCAACCACAGAAUUAAAAUUUUGUUUGAAAAAUGAGUAAGGUACUACUGACAUAAGUUUUUGUUCUUGUUUUUCCCUUUUUGCAGUGACCAGCAGACUAAAGUGUGCAUAACUCUUUCAAACAUGAUCUCCAAGAUGCCAUCAUGCCUGACAUUGUUUACACCAUUGGGCAGUAAUCUAGAUCAUAAAUUGGUGAGGAAAACAAAACUUUGGCCUAGACAAGUUUGGUAUAUACAGACAAUGAAUUGACAAUGUGUAAUAACACAGAAUCAAAGGGAGCUAUGUGAUUAACAGGAAACAUGUUAAUCAGCUUGAUGUAUUUGGAGCCUUUCCAUAUAAACAAAAUUUAUUCCAGAAAUUAAAUACAAUUAUAGAUAUGAAGCAAAAUGGAAUCUCACCUGAUGCCAUUUGAACAUUUUCUUCAGCUAUAGGUUCACUGCCCCCAGCUCCCAUGUCAAAAAGUUCAACUCUUUUGUUACCAAGGCUAUUCAAAAAACUGCAGCCCCACCAUAUAGAGUCAGGAGUAUGAAGUUUAAAAGUAACCAUAAGAUGAAAUGAAGAAGAAACCCAUUCAAAAUUUGUUUUAUUUUUCUAAAAGGUACACUCAUUCAAUUUUAUGGAUUGAAUUCUACAGCUAGAAAUUUGGCACAUCACAGUAACUAAAUUUGCUCAUCCUCUACAUACAAAGGACAAGUUCUUAUUGAAGACAAGAGUUGCCUUUCAAGCAAAUCACCACCAUUAUAGAAUACAAUUGAAUUCUACAGUCCAAACUCCAUACUCUCACCUCUAAUCUAAUAAUAACAAAAACAGGUAACUUACGUUUUCCUCAGUGCCACAUAGGAAUUUAGCUCUUUUAUCUGCACAAUAAGAGAAUUACAAUUGAAUGUGCAAAUACAUACAAUCUGAUGCGCAUGUUCAUGCCAUCAGGGGAAAAAAGGUUUUAAAGAACUGACCAUGGAUUGCUUCUCAUCAUUGAAUUGCUUAUUCAGUUCAGGAGGAUUUUUGUUCUCCUCAUCUUUAAUUUCACGAUCAAAUUCUUUAAUCAAUCUUUUACACUCCCUCAUCUUCCCAGUAAGUUCCUCCAGCUGUUUACUUUGUCUGUUGGAAUCUUUGAUGUUAUCCAGCCUCUGGAACCCAUUUGAGAGAGCUCGAAAAUUGUCCUUAAUUUCUCCAUGGAUCUGCUCCAACUGGGGGCUCAUCUGCAAUUCGGUAGCCAUUUUGUGGAUGAUAGUGACCGGAAAUCUUAAAAAUCCCCAGCUAGACGAAUUCUAAGCUGAAAUAAGUGAAAUGGAUGUCUGUUUAUGAUCAAAGGGUCAUGCGUUUGAGUUGAGGAGAAAUUGGAGAAGAAAUCCUAAUCUAAAUUCAAUAAAGAUAGAGGUACAAUUAGGCACAGGGGAAUAGAGAGGGAGAAAUUUUAGAUUUUGCUACAAGCUGAGAAGGAAUGAAGAAGAGAGAGAAAGGGAAGCUAUCGCU